AUUGAACGCUGGCGGCAUGCCUUACACAUGCAAGUCGAACGGUAACAGGCCGCAAGGUGCUGACGAGUGGCGAACGGGUGAGUAAUGCAUCGGAACGUGCCCAGUCGUGGGGGAUAACUGCUCGAAAGAGCAGCUAAUACCGCAUACGACCUGAGGGUGAAAGCGGGGGACCGUAAGGCCUCGCGCGAUUGGAGCGGCCGAUGUCAGAUUAGCUAGUUGGGGGGGUAAAGGCCUACCAAGGCAACGAUCUGUAGUUGGUCUGAGAGGGCGCCCAGCAACACUGGGACUGAGACACGGCCCAGACUCCUACGGGAGGCAGCAGUGGGGAAUUUUGGACAAUGGGCGCAAGCCUGAUCCAGCAAUGCCGCGCGCAGGAAGAAGGCCUUCGGGUUGUAAACUGCUUUUGUCAGGGAAGAAAUCUUCUGGGCUAAUACCCCGGGAGGAUGACGGUACCUGAAGAAUAAGCACCGGCUAACUACGUGCCAGCCGCCGCUGUAAUAC
rnacentral:rRNA from 1 species